GCAAACAUAGCAGAAGGUUCAGAAAGACUCGCCAUUUAAGAUAGUUUAUGACGAAGAGAUAUGUUACCUAUUGAAAUAUUUUACUUUAUACAUAAUAUUUGAAUGUUAUACUUCAAUUUAAGUGAUGAAUUUAGAAGUGAUAUAAAGAAAUGUAAUAAGGAAAAAGUGAUAUACUACUUGCAAAUGUUUUACCUUGACUUUGAGCGUCAAAAUUUUCUGCGGAUUCUGCAGAUAAUAAUUACCUGUGCAAUAAUGGAAGCUACUUUUUCUUUAUCUACUGCUUUAUCUACUGCGUGGAUUCGUUUGUUUUUCAAAUGAUGUGGAGUAUCUCUACGAUGAAGCUUAUUUGGUCUAUUUGAAUCACCACCACCAUCAUAAUCAGUACUUUCUAUUAUAGAAAAUUCUACAUGUCUUUGUGUUUCUUCAUAUUCAGAUUCUUCCUCCUCUUUGUCAUUUCUAUCCUUUGAUUCAGCACUAGAUUCUGUAAUAUAUUGAUUAGAAGCUACUUCUGGUUCAUUGCUAGAUUCGAAAUCUGCAUUAUCAGCUACUAUUCCAGGUGUACUAACCAUCUGGAUGGAUUUCCAAUUGUGGUAAAAGAAAACAGAUUAAUACUUCUUGCCCUGUCUCCUCAUCAAUAUCCGUCUGAAAAGUAAGCAUUGGCUGUGCUUGAUUUUUACUUAACCAUACUGCCUUUAAGUUCAAAUUGAUCAAGGAAUAUGGCAAGUAUUGUAAUCUGAAAAAUGAAUAUUAUUAAAAAAUAUCAUUAACAGAACUUAAAGAAAAAUUUGAUAUUUAAACUAAAAUAAUUGUAUACCUAUUUCCAGACACAUCCAACACAUGAAGAGCAGUACAUUGUCCAACCUCGGCAGGAAGAUAUUGCAAUUUAUUAUCUCUUAAAGACAGUACACCCAAUUGUUUUAAAUUUCCUAUAGAAAAAAAGAUAUUCGAUAAAAUUUAUUUUUAGUAUCAUUAUACUAUGUAAUCCUAAUGAUAUUUUUCUUACCGAUUUCUGUAGGAAGCGACUGUAAACUAUUUCUAUCUACAUUUAAAUUAUUUAGAUUAAGAAGUUUUCCUAUAGUUACAGGCAGUUCUAGGAGAAAAUUUUCCAAAGAAAAAUUAAUCUCACCUGCCUAUAUUUGGAUUUAGAGUGGAAAGUCUAUUUUGAUCGACUUUAAGAAUGAUCUUCCAGGCGGUUUUCAGAUACGUCCAGGCACGCUAACGUUUUCAGUUCUCCGAUUUCCGAUGGUAAGUGUUGCAACUGAUUAUGAUCCAACCAUAAUUCUUGUAACGCUGGUAAUUUUCCUAUAUGUGCUGGCU